GCCUUGAUGGUCUAGUGGUAUGAUUGUCGCUUCGGGUAACCCCCUAUCACGGGAACGUGGUUGUGACAGGUCCCGGGUUCAAAUCCCGGUUGAGGCC